GAUGGAAAGCCUUCACAGGG
rnacentral:piRNA from 1 species